GGAAAUGAGGUAAGAGCAGAAAUAGGCUGAGAUUUCUUUGAGGUUAUUAUUUUUUUUUUCCUGUUAGCUAAUUUGGGCCUGUGGUUCUCCUGAGAAGCCCAGAGCUGUGAUUUUAGCAGAGUCCUGCCAGGAUAGAUCCAAGGGAUCCAUCCAAGGCUGGCACAAGAGAGCAGUUGGACAGGAACUGAAAAAGCCCAGCAAAGUCAAGGGGGAAAUAAAUGACGAUUGGACAAGCUUCAUUAACCUGCCAGUAUUCCCAAGUCUCCCCCUCAACUGUCGUCUUUCCUUCCCGGGGUGUCUUCCACCAAGAUCCUAUAGCUUUAAGCUGCAAAAUUGGAUCUGAAGGAUGGUGGUAAUGCGGAUGAUGGCUGAUGAUUUUUAACCACUUACUUGGUGUCAGACCUUGUUCUAAAUAUUUUAUGUUCACUCACGUGCUUAUUCACCUAUUCAACGCACAUUUAUCAAAUACUUUUUUCAUAUUUAAGGAAGUGAAACAGAAAAAUCAGUCCUUAUACUCUGACAUAGGGAGACAGAACACAUAUAAUAACCAUAGCAAAUAAAUACGUCAUAUGUUAGGAGGUGAUGAGGCAUGGAAGAGGAGGGGAACAGAGACUGCAAUAUCCAACAGUUGAUCCAAGAGAACUUACUGAGGAAAUGAUGUCUGGGUGGAGAUGGAAGUGGUAGGAAAGUGAUCCCAAUGGACACCUGGGGGCGCAGUGUCUGGAGCAGAGGGACCCACCACUGCAAAGAUGUUGAAGUGACAGCAACUUGGGUGCUGUAGGACCAGGGAGGAGCCUUGUGACGGGAGUGAAGGCAGGUGAAGGAUAGAGAGGUCAGAGACAUAAGGGUGAUCAGAG
rnacentral:lncRNA from 1 species